GGGCACAUGGUGUAGUUGGUUAUCACGCCCGCUUAGCACAUUAUCGAGAAGUGUAUUAUGCGGGCGGUGCCCGGUUCAAUUCCGGGUGUGUCCA